AGCUAAAUUCAUUUCAUUUGGAGCGGCGUCGUAUACGUAGAAAAUCGGUACUGUAAUUUUUUGCGUAAGCACAUACUAAUUCGAGAUUAAUUUGUCCCUACUCGGGAUUCGAAUGACACGGCCUCAUAUUAGAUUUUAAGCUGAUAAAAAAUGCAAUUGCAAAUAUAGAGUUAGAUAUAGGGAGUUGUUUUCUCGUGUAACAGUAACACUAACCAGAGAUGUAUACCCGAAGUUUAUAGGAUCACUUCUUUGUUCAUUUUCCUUACUUAAUUUUCGAUUUAUUCAUCAA